CAGAGUCCCACCUCCUCCUGAGCUCUGACGCUUUCUUCUCUGUGCUCCCUGCUAAUCAAUUCACCAGUAUGAAGGGCUUGGCGUUGCUGGUCCUGGUGGCAGUUUCCACCUUCCUGGUCUUGGGCUAGAGUUCAACAGAUGCUUCAUCUGAUAGCUCUACUGCUGGUGGCUUCACUGGUAUCGCCACCACUUACGAUGAAAUCACUGAGGACAGUGACAUUGAUGAGGACACCACUGAAGCUCCUGAUACCAAGACCAGCGCUGCUCCAACUGGCCUUCUAAAGUGUAAAUCCACCUGAUCUAAGUUCUUUCUUUCUUUUUUGACUUUUUUUCCUUUAAAUUUUUAUUGUUAUGUUAAUCACCAUACAUUACAUCAUUAGUUUU